AGCGGAGAAAACGAAGCACCUGGUUGAGGCUUCGGAACUGGAGCUCGGUGGGCUCGUUCAAUCUCCGGUGAAGAGGGGAACUUCGAGGCGCCGAGCAGCUCCGCGAAGAAGGUCCCCAUGAAAAGGGUAUGCUGGACACUGUGAAUUCUGUGCUUCUUCAGCCUAGCGUAUCUGCCCGACUGGCAGCAGCUUGGUGCUUGCACUGUGUGGCUAUAGCAAUACCCGCUCAGGUGGCUGUAUUACUGGACCGCUGUUCAGAAAGGCUCAAUGCCCUAAAGUCCUGCCCCAAGGCUGUGGAUGGGUACGGUGCUGCUAUUGCUGCCCCCUGGGAACUGUACAACACUGCCCACUGGGAAUACCACACAUCAAAGGCAAGGUGGUGAUGGGCUUGGCUGAAGAUCUGCUUGGAUUUCCUUCCAGAGAACUCGGGGAGGCUGGCUACCACUCAGCGCCCCGAUGACCUUAGGGCCCACUGUAGUGGAGCAUCAUCUCCCCAGAAUGCUGUUGUUAUGGAAAUGUGCCUUCCCUCAGUCUGUUAAGGAGCUGGACAGUGAACUGAGGCGUGGAGACUCUUUCACCUGGCAGGUGACCCUUGAGGGAUGCUCAGGAGCACUGUGUGAUAAAUUCUCUCAAGCUGUAGAAGUUUCCAGUCAUGAAGGAGGCACUGAAGUGAUUUGUUUGUCAAGGCAAGGUUAGACUGGGAGGGGGAGCAGAUUUUAUGAACUGCAGCACAAGCAAACCCAGAAGGAACAGCUGGAGGUGGCCUGGAAUGUCUGCCAAAUGAUUUGCUCAGCCCACUUCUUGGGAUCCAAGGCUAAUACCAGAGGCAUCAGAGCAUGUGAAGAAAGGCGACAGCAGCUUUAGGUUCCUUAGCAGAAAACUAUGCCCACAGUCAGCAAAUGUAGUGACUAAGGAAGGAUGUUCAGUGGCCAAGCUGCUGGGCACUUGGAGCUUAGGUAUGCAAGAGCAUGCAGCGUUUCCCCUGGAAUAUUUUUAGGCACGGUGGUAAACCCAUCACAGGUACCAGUGUUGUCAAGCACACAUGGUUUCAUGAAACACACAGAGGUCGGUGUAGUGUCAUUGCUCAGAGUAAUUUUUGAAAUAUACAUGUAAAUACAAUAUGCUACACAUCCUGUACACAUUUUUCAAGAAAUGUUAUUGUGAUUGAUUGUAGGAGUUCAUUUGUAGUCAGUUAAUUUAUAUGGAAAGGGUCCAAAGUAGCAGUUGAAAGUACGAACCUGACUUUUUACUGAAUUUUUCUUAAGACUAAAAUCUGUUUGAGUGACUCUAUACCUUAAUUAUUUUUAUUUUAUUAAAACAAAUGAUUGAACCUUUCAUUUUGUCACUACUCACUAGGAAAUUAUAACAUGUUUCAGUAGUGACAAUUUAAGCUAAUUUUAAGUGUAAUGCAAAAAUGUUAG